rnacentral:rRNA from 1 species
UACGUAGGGUGCGAGCGUUAAUCGGAAUUACUGGGCGUAAAGCGUGCGCAGGCGGUUCGCCGUGUCCGAUGUGAAAGCCCCGGGCUUAACCUGGGAAUGGCAUUGGAAACUGGCGGGCUUGAGUGUGGCAGAGGGGGGUGGAAUUCCACGUGUAGCAGUGAAAUGCGUAGAGAUGUGGAGGAACACCGAUGGCGAAGGCAGCCCCCUGGGUCAAGACUGACGCU